rnacentral:rRNA from 1 species
GUGCCUACGGGAGGCAGCAGUGAGGAAUAUUGGUCAAUGGGCUUACGCCUGAACCAGCCAAGUCGCGUGGGGGACGACUGCCCUAUGGGUUGUAAACCUCUUUUAUAAGGGAGGAAUAAAUGCUACGUGUAGCAUGAUGCCUGUACCUUAUGAAUAAGCAUCGGCUAACUCCGUGCCAGCAGCCGCGGUAAUACGGAGGAUGCGAGCGUUAUCCGGAUUUAUUGGGUUUAAAGGGUGCGUAGGCGGUUUUUUAAGUUAGUGGUUAAACGUCGGGGCUUCACCUUGAUUUGCCAUUAAUACUGUAA